rnacentral:lncRNA from 1 species
CGCCAUGGGAGAGUACACAGUUAUGAUAAACACAAACAUAUCAGAUAUGAAAACAAGACAACACAUAGAAUAACUACAGUGCAGCCCAUAGUUUUUAAAGCGGUAAGGCGGUCCAAGACGUUGGAGCACCUUCUGAACGCCUAGGUGAGGUAGGCGGGCAAAGCGCUUAGGCGUUAGACCAUCGCCCAUCGCCCGGACGCCUAGGCGACGCCUUAAGAACAGAGGUGCAGCCAUUGCUAACUAAACUGAGACACAUGUUCGUAGGAUACAUCAUACAUGUCACGAUAGUAUUUUCUGCCUUAAAACAGCUUCAAACAAUACAAAGCGCGAGAAAAUAAAAUGAACAAACGAAU